UACAGAGGGUGCAAACGUUGUUCGGAUUUACUGGGCGUAAAGCGCGUGUAGGCGGCUACGUGUGUCGGGCGUGAAAGCCCACGGCUCAACCGUGGAAGUGCACCCGAAACUGCGUAGCUAGAGUCCUGGAGAGGAAGGUGGAAUGCUUGGUGUAGAGGUGAAAUUCGUAGAUAUCAAGCGGAACACCGGUGGCGAAGGCGGCCUUCUGGACAGUGACUGACGCUGAGACGCGAAAGCGUGGGGAGCAAACGGG
rnacentral:rRNA from 1 species